UUCAGUAAGCUCUUAAUCUUGAAAGAAAUGAGUCCUUCACAGUCAUACAGGAAUAUGUUAGAUGCAUGCUAUAAAAAAUAUAUUCCAAAGUGUGUACUAGAACACAUUUAAAGUUAAAUACAAAACAUAAGUUUAUGUUGAGAAUUGGUUCACACAUCUUCAUUGGGGGGACUCACAACUGUACAGAAUGUACCAGCUUUAAACAUAUAUAUCUGGAUUCUGGACCCCAUGUCAGAACUGUUCUCCACUUAUUUCCAUGCCACACUUUGAACGAAAAUUCAUCUUUUAUGUGGAUAGCACUCCUAGGUUAAAAUACAUAAGCAAAAUGUCAGAUUACUGUUAACAACCAAUAUCAAUACAACGUUAAUGAUGAAAAUAUGUGCAGCAGGUUCAACUUCUCGAUCGAGGAGCAGACCAGAAAGUGGUUAAUAGUGAAGCUAGUCAUCAUGAACUUUUAACAAAAGCUAGUAAUAUGUAGUUUUCUUAUAAACAAAUGGAUAUAUCUUGAUAUCACCAUUGGUUUAGUAAUAACAUAUAUAUCUCGGAACUUGAAAGAAGUGGAGUACUUGGUUGGUGCAUAGAAAUAAGAUAUACUGUCGCUGCUUUUAAACUGAUUCUAGUAAUCUCCUUCUGUAUCUCCUCACUCCAUUAACAUGCAAGCACAGGAUCAUAUGAUAUACAUACUAAUAAUGAGAUGCUUAUGAAAUGAAGCUUUGCAGCUGAUAUAGCAUUCUGUUGAAUGGCAUACUUCCUAAUGAUAUUAUGUUUAUGGAUCUAAACAAGUAUAUAUUAAUAUUGGAAAACUAAGUUCAACAUUUCUCAAUAUAUUAAAACAUUAACUUUUAAGAUAACUUUUUUUUACUUUCUCUUCUUUAAACAUUUUCCAUCUUUUAACAUUCCCCUAUCUUUAUAAUAUAUAUUUUAUCAUCAGAAAUAGUAUUAUGUGUUUAAAAAUGGACUCUGUGAACACAUAAAAAUGGACUGGAUCAAAAUAAGGUCCUGGUUUCCUGCCAAAGUAGGUGAGCCACUCUUCCUUUUCUUCUUCACAUUAGUGUAUUAGCUCACUUGACUGUAUGAAUCUUAAUUUAUUAGAUUGGGUCUGACCUUUUUGUGGAGUACCCCUUGUAGUUUUCUUCAAAAGACCCCUUGUAAUCUUCUUGAUAAUAUUUUAGCAUAUAAUUGAUUACAAAUUCCCAACCCGCAAGUAUGAUUUGAAGAGUUAGUUAAUAAACAGUCUUAUAAAAAAAUACUAGCUAGUUAAAAAAAUGUAGUGGCACUUCAUUUAGCAUGGAAAAGAAUAGCUAACAUAAAAAAUUACAAAUUGGAAAUUUGCAACUAGCUAGUCCUGUGAGUUAGUGUUGUAUAGAAAAAGUAUGGCCAAAUGGAUAAAGAGAGGAGAAACCUGUAUUCAACCUGAAAGGAAAGUAGGCUCAGUAUUAAUCUGCUUUCAGAAAAAUAUCUGAUGUAUAAAUCAUUUAAAAUUUUAUCAAGAAUAACUAUGUCUUACAGACAGAUACAUGUGUGAACUGCUUGCAUGUGUGUAUUAUAUAUAAAGAUCUAUAUCAUAAUAUCAAUGUCUUGGAACUCAUGAUUUCUCUGGCAAGUAAAAAAGUACCAAGUGGGUCACUAAGCUAUUAAAUUCUAAUAUGUAACUAUUUCAGAUGUUUGCUGUAUCUAGGGUAAUUGUGGUAAAAGAAUUAAUACUUACAAUAUGUGUGACAUCAGCUACAGUAUCAGUGUACUGGGCUGCACAUUUUUGAGCCAAGCAUGUACAAAUGAGGCUUUGACUUGGAUAAAGCUGUUUUCAAACAUGGUUACAAAUGGAGGCAACAGAAGGAAGGAGCUCCCUUCAGUCCAAGGCACUGAGAAAGAGGGGUACAAAAUUAAUGCAUCUCCCUCUUCAUUCACACAAUUAAUUAAUGUGUGAAUAAGUCAGCACUUAAUUUAGUAACCCUACUCUUUUCUCAUAUCCAUGAGUGGGCUGAUGGAAGCUCCUUCACUCUCUUUCCCCCCUCAAUGUGAGCUAGCUCCAUGUAUAGUGGAGUAAUGUAAUCGAUAUAGGUCGUCCAACCGUUAUGAAUUUGACUUACUCUAUAAGAAUGUUACUUUGAGUCUCUCAUCAGAUAUGAGGAUAUUAUUGGUAUGAAAAUCGAGAGGCGACUUUGUAAGCAUGACGUUUACCCUAAUCCUACUAAGCUCUACUACUCAACUCACAUACAUUUUUGUCAUAAAAAAUGUCAUGCAUACAUUUCCACUUCCUUACACAAGGCAGUGAUGAAUAAAUUGAGAAAGUGUUAUAUAUAUAUCACCAAGAAGAUUUUGAGACUAACUAAUUUUUGUAAGGUAAUGAAAUUUUAAUAAAAACCAAGGUAAACAAAGUUUAUUAGGGACAUUAUCAUAGUUAAUUCUAUCCUCAAAAGCAAACACUGCCCGAUUCACUAGGCUACAUGAUGCAAUAUUGUCUGUCCUAACUAAAUUAGUUCCUGUAAUAAUGAAAAGUAAAGUUCUUGCAUUGUCCUAACAAAUUAUUGAGAUAACUAGAACAAAUUAAACAUUAGAAAAAAGAAAGAUAACUACAACAAAUUAAUCCAUCUUUGAAGAGAGAAAACACUUAGUACAAAAACUAUGAUGAAGUGGGGGUAAUUAGUGCUACAUCAAAUUAAUUAAGGGUUUUGAAUUUGCAAAAGGGGCGAUAAUUGACUUCAAAUCAAAGUAUAAGAAUGAGGGAAUUUGUAAGCAUAUUUUAUAAUUUUGUCAAAUAAAUCAGUAAACGCAAGCCAGAUGAGAAAAUAGAGUAAUCAAAAGUUAGAAUCGUCUCAUCCUGAUCUGAACACAAACCCAAUGCUAUAGCAAAUUCAACUCAUUAGCUACUUAUAAUAUUUAAUAUGAAAAUAAAUAGAAAUAAUUAACCUGAAAAGGGCAUCCAAGGCCCAAACUUCCACACAAGGGUAAAAACUUCAAACAAGCAAAUAAGAGAGAGGAUAUGCAAAGGGGGAGAAGGAAAUUAAACAAGCUGCGUCCAAAACCAGAUUCAUAUCAAAUUAAAGAAGCUACCAAGAAAGGGAAGAUAUAUACUAUGUCCUAAUUGCCAUGCAAGUUUAUAUUUAAUUUACUCAAAAGGUAUAAUAUAUAUAUAUAUAACCAGUUUGGUUUUCACCUGAAAAUAAUUUAAUAAAAAAUUACGAACAUAACUUAUUUAGAUAUACUACAAAUCCAACACCUAGAAAAAAAUUUGCUUGUAGCUAGCACACAUCUCACCACUAAGCUGUGGAAACCCUAAGUUUUGAGAGCUGAGGUAGCUAGGGCUAGUGAAGAAGAUGAAGAAAAAUAGACAAAUCAAAUAUCAUAGGAUUGUGAUGGUAGAAGAGAAAAGAUAUGGUAAAACAAAGUCUAGACUUAAAGUUCAGAAAGCAGAUGCUGCGACUGCCAGAAACCCUAAAUUUGGUAUGUUAUUAUUGAUACCUGCGCUGAACAUGAGGAAGGCAAGGAGAGUUAUAAAGAAAUGGUGAGAACUGUCAAG
rnacentral:lncRNA from 1 species